rnacentral:lncRNA from 1 species
AUGGUCAUAAAUACGAUGAACCAUACUACAUUGCAGAUGACAUUUACCCGAUGAACAACUCAAGAACACAUAUCUAUUGUGCUCAUGACCGGACCAAAGAUCCCGUGCAACACGAGUCGUUGGAAUGGGAUGGACGUUACAAUGAAUUGAUUGUUGAGCGGUACACUUCAGUGUAAGAACCAUACUGGCACAUAAUCUGCCAGAAUGACUUGAUGGAACACCAGUGGGGAUUGCAAAAAGGUGAAGAUAAUUAAAAUGAGCUUGUGGUUGAAGAAUAAAGUGUUUUUUUUUUUUAAGUUUAUGUAAUUUUAUUUAGUGUGUUUUUUUCUAAAGUUUAUUUGGUGAGGUUAUGUAAAUUUAAUUGGUGUUUUUUAUUUUUAAGUUUAUUUGGUGAGUUUAUGUAAUCUUAUUUAGUGUGUUUUUUUUAAGUUUAUUUAGUGAGGUUAUGUAAUUUUAUUUGUUGUUUUUUUUUAAAGUUUAUUUGGUGAGGUUAUGUAAUUUUAUUUGGUGUUUUUUUUUUAAGUUUAUUUGGUGAGUUUAUGUAAUCUUAUUUGAUGUGUUUAAAUAAAGUACAAAAAAUAAAUUUGAAAUUGCAUAAAGUUCUAAAAAUAAAUAAGA